rnacentral:rRNA from 1 species
GUGUCAGCCGCCGCGGUAAGACGGAGGAUGCAAGCGUUAUCCGGAAUGAUUGGGCGUAAAGCGUCCGCAGGUGGCAAGUCAAGUCUGCUGUUAAAGCGCAGGGCUUAACUCUGUAAAGGCAGUGGAAACUGAAUAGCUAGAGUGUGGUAGGGGCAGAGGGAAUUCCCAGUGUAGCGGUGAAAUGCGUAGAGAUUGGGAAGAACAUCGGUGGCGAAGGCGCUCUGCUGGACCAUAACUGACACUCACAGGACGAAAGCUAGGGGAGCGAAUGGGAUUAGAUACCCCAGUAGUCCUAGCCGUAAACGAUGGAUACUAGGUGUUGUCUGUGUCGACCCGGACAGUGCCGUAGCUAACGCGUUAAGUAUCCCGCCUGGGGAGUACGCACGCAAGUGUGAAACUUAAAUGAAUUGGCGGGG